rnacentral:rRNA from 1 species
UACGAAGGGGGCUAGCGUUGCUCGGAAUCACUGGGCGUAAAGGGUGCGUAGGCGGUGCUUUAAGUCGGGGGUGAAAUCCUGGAGCUCAACUCCAGAACUGCCUUUGAUACUGAGGAUCUUGAGUUCGGGAGAGGUGAGUGGAACUGCGAGUGUAGAGGUGAAAUUCGUAGAUAUUCGCAAGAACACCAGUGGCGAAGGCGGCUCACUGGCCCGAUACUGACGCUGAGGUGCGAAAGCGUGGGGAGCAAACAGG